rnacentral:rRNA from 1 species
UACGAAGGGGGCUAGCGUUGUUCGGAAUCACUGGGCGUAAAGCGCACGUAGGCGGAUGUGCCAGUCAGGGGUGAAAUCCCGGAGCUCAACUCCGGAACUGCCUCUGAUACAGCACGUCUUGAGUUCGAGAGAGGUGGGUGGAAUUCCUAGUGUAGAGGUGAAAUUCGUAGAUAUUCGGAAGAACACCAGUGGCGAAGGCGGCUCACUGGACGACUAUUGACGCUGAGGUGGCGAAAGCUAGGGGAGCAAACGGG